rnacentral:tRNA from 2 species
GCGGGAAUAGCUCAGUUGGUAGAGCAGUGAACGGGGUAAAACCCAUAUUCCUUGGUUGACAAACUUGCCUGAAAAGGCCGACUAACUGAGGGUUAUCGUUAAUUCAUUGGUCGCAGGUUCAAAUCCUGCUUCUCGCGCCA